rnacentral:tRNA from 1 species
GGAGGGGUGGCAGAGCCCGGUUUAUUGCGACGGUCUUGAAAACCGUUGUGGGUUAACGCUCACCGGGGGUUCGAAUCCCUCCCCCUCCGCCA